CGGACGGGUGAGUAACACGUGGAUAACCUACCUAUAAGACUGGGAUAACUUCGGGAAACCGGAGCUAAUACCGGAUAAUAUAUUGAACCGCAUGGUUCAAUAGUGAAAGACGGUUUUGCUGUCACUUAUAGAUGGAUCCGCGUCGCAUUAGCUAGUUGGUAAGGUAACGGCUUACCAAGGCAGCGAUGCGUAGCCGACCUGAGAGGGUGAUCGGCCACACUGGAACUGAGACACGGUCCAGACUCCUACGGGAGGCAGCAGCC
rnacentral:rRNA from 1 species